CCUACGGGGGGCAGCAGUGAGGAAUAUAGGUCAAUGGCCGCAGGGCUGAACCAGCCAAGUCGCGUGAGGGAUGACGGUCCUAUGGAUUGUAAACCUCUUUUGUCAGGGAGCAAAGGGCGCCACGUGUGGCGCUUUGCGAGUACCUGAAGACAAAGCAUCGGCUAAGUCCGUUCCAGCAGCCGCGGUAAUACCGGGGCAGCGAGGGUUAUCCGAAUUUAUUGGGGUAAAGGGGUGCGCAGGCGGAGUGUAAAGUCAGCGGGAAAAUUUCGGGACUAAACCCCGUCGUGCCGUUGAAACUGGCGGUCUUGAGUGAGCGAGAAGUAAGCGGAAUGCGUGGUGUAGCGGUGAAAUGCAUAGAUAUCACGCAGAACUCCGAUUGCGAAGGCAGCAUACCGGCGCUCAACUGACGCUCAUGCACGAAAGCGUGGGUAGCGAACAGGAUUAGAUACCCGGGUAGUC
rnacentral:rRNA from 1 species